CCCGGUGACCAUAGCGAGGGGGAAACACCCGUUCCCAUUCCGAACACGACCGUUAAGACCCUCUGCGGCGAUGGUACUGAGAUGUAGAUCUCGGGAGAGUAGCACGUUGCCGGGU
rnacentral:rRNA from 1 species